rnacentral:lncRNA from 12 species
GCCGGCUGCACCCCACGCUGCCAGUCCGAGGCUCUAAGAAACACGGCUGGUUUCAGUUCUGCUUUCACCAGCAGCUUCUUUCUGCUCUUUCAGUUGCUCCGCAGCUGUCAUUUGUGGUAUGUGUCACGCCGUGUUCCCGGAAUGAGCGGGACAGAGGCCCCGUUAAGGCCGCACUUGCGCUCUGCACCUCCAACUCCCGGCGGACCUUCCUCAGGGGCUUCAUGACAAUAAGCAGUCUACGCAGACACGUUUUCCCGGUAGUCUCACCGUGACUCGACCCGUUAUGGGGGUUCUAUGGGGCCUCUCAUAGUAGGGCCACCUGGGCAGGAGAGCUGCCCACGGAAGGGGUGACCUCACGCAGCCUUCAGGUGGCCUGCAGGGACGGUGUGACCUGCUGCUCUGAGCUCAGACACGUGCUGAGGACACGUGCUCCCUGCGGUGACUUCAGGGCUAAUUUGGAGUCCCCAGGCCUCACGUUCGCCCUUCGCAAGCCUACCCACCCACUCAGCAGGGAGAUGUGGGGACGGUGCUUUCUCUGCACACACCCCAACUCCGUAGGAUCUUUGGUUUCUCUUUGAAACAGUGAGCGCCCUGUCCGCAGAAGCCGGGCUCAGCUAAACGUCCUCGGCCCCCAAGGGGCAGCGGUUUCAGCCCCAGCCCGUGGCCUGUUUCCACCGCUCUCGUCCAAGAGGAAGGAGUCACUGAAGCUGCCAGGGUCCCAGGCCGACCGCGGAGCAAAUCACCCCCACAGCCGCGAGGGCGGCCCAGACUCCUGCUGUCCCCCGGGGGACCUGCCCACGGGCCGCCUCUUCGGGGCCCAGAGACCGGGAGCAAGGUCAGGUGAGAGCAGCUCAGUCCCCAGCGUCCGGGCCCCUGGACGGACGUGUGGUCCCAGCGGAGGUCAAGUGACCUGGGGUCGGCAGCCUGACGGGUGGGCAGCUUGCGUUUCUGACCCACACGGUGAAAAUAAACCCUCUCCCGGGGUCAAGGCCCCAACAGCCUGUCCUCACGCCCCUGUCGCUCCGGGGGUGACGCUGCCCGCAGCCGCCCUCUGCCCGGAGGUGAGAGCCGCACAAUCCAGAGGUGAGCUCGAGUGACCAGGACCUCGGGUGACACAUCCGUCUCCCCCAUGUCCCCCCUGCACAGCUCGGACCAAAGCCCUCACCCCUCCCACAGCGUGGGGUUACACGGUCACUCAGCACACAGCAGACCGCCUUUUCCCCCAUUGAUGUAUUUUUUUUUUUUUUAGCAGAUUCCCCAGAAAACGGUGUGUUACUUCUCUAGGCUUCCUCCGCUGACUGGUUACUUCUUUGGUUUGGUUCAGAUUUUGAAAACACAUCAUUUCAAUGCCAAGAUUAACAAAAGCUGGCGCUUUAUGAUGUUGGAAUUGACCCAACAAUUCACAGAUUAAAAACAAAAAACAAAAAAACUUCAGAGCCAAUCAAGUUGGAAAAAGCUGCACAUUCUGUUCGCUGGAUGGUCCUGCCGACCCUGCAGACCCAGGUCCUCCCACUGUCCAUUUGGGGAGUUGUAAGAAUUCGUAAGAAACAAAAGGAAAAUCUCCCUGCCUUCAUUUUUAUGUCUCCGGUGUUGAUACUAUCUCCCUGCCCACGGCUCUGCUGAGUAAACAGCCUCAUCUCUGCACGGCCACCCCCACCGCAGCGCCCUCCCCCGCCGGCCCGAGAGGGUGGAGGCUGGACCCGACUGGACGCGGCCGACCCCUGAGCUGCCACGACCCACCAUGGCCUGGGUGGCCCAGGUGGCCUGGUCGAGAUGAUGAGCAGAGUCCCCUUGGGAACCGGGGUGCAUAGAGAUGGAUCUCACGGGGCGGGAGCUGAAGCCAAAAGGAUGUGUAACUGGAGCUGCAGCGGGGGUUGGGGGCUGGGGGCCGGGGGCUGGGGGCAUAGAGCCCUGGGGAAGCAGGAGGGACGCUGACCACCGUGCAUGUGAACACAGCAGCACUUGUCAAAAGGGGAUGGCCUUCAGCUGGUCACCACCCCACUUGGGGUGUCCCCUCUUUCCAUGAGAGAGAUGCAAGACCUCAUGAUUUCCAAGCCUCUGAAACCUUUGAAUUCUUUUUUCUUCCAUGUUGGAAGC